rnacentral:rRNA from 1 species
CGGAGGCAGCAGUGGGGAAUCUUGCGCAAUGGGCGAAAGCCUGACGCAGCAACGCCGCGUGCGGGAUGAAGGCCUUCGGGUUGUAAACCGCUUUCAGCAGGGACGAAACUGACGGUACCUGCAGAAGAAGCCCCGGCCAACUACGUGCCAGCAGCCGCGGUAAUACGUAGGGGGCGAGCGUUGUCCGGAUUCAUUGGGCGUAAAGAGCUCGUAGGCGGUUCGGCAAGUCGGGUGUGAAAACUCCAGGCUCAACCUGGAGACGCCACCCGAUACUGCUGUGACUCGAGUCCGGUAGGGGACCACGGAAUUCCUGGUGUAGCGGUGAAAUGCGCAGAUAUCAGGAGGAACACCGGUGGCGAAGGCGGUGGUCUGGGCCGGAACUGACGCUGAGGAGCGAAAGCGUGGGGAGCGAACAGGAUUAGAUACCCCAGUAGUCC